rnacentral:rRNA from 1 species
AGUACGAAAGGAGUAAAUAACUAAAAUAUUUUUAGUAUA